rnacentral:rRNA from 1 species
ACGGGUGAGUAAUGUCUGGGAAACUGCCUGAUGGAGGGGGAGUAACUACUGGAAACGGUAGCUAAUACCGCAUAACGUCGCAAGACCAAAGAGGGGGACCUUCGGGCCUCUUGCCAUCGGAUGUGCCCCAGAUGGGAUUAGCUAGUAGGUGGGGUAACGGCUCACCUAGGCGACGAUCCCUAGCUGGUCUGAGAGGAUGACCAGCCACACUGGAACUGAGACACGGUCCAGACUCCUAACGGGAGGCAGCAUG